rnacentral:tRNA from 4 species
GACUCCGUGGCUCAGUUGGUAGAGCAAAUGACUCUUAAUCAUUGGGUCGUGGGUUCGAGCCCCACCGGGGUCACAA